rnacentral:rRNA from 1 species
UGCUAGUUUUCUAGCGAAUGGUUCAUUCUUUUUUACUGUGAACUGUUUUAAUUUUUCAGCGUCUGAGGAAUGUCUUUUAGCCAUAGGGAUAGGCUACUAGAAUGUUAACCGAGCUGAAAGUCAGGCUUAGGCCUGGUAUCCUAUUAAUUAUUUACCAAAAGAAUUCAGUAUUAUAAUUGUAACAUAAGCGUAAAAAACUUAUAAAACAACUUUUAACAACGGAUCUCUUGGUUCUCGCAUCGAUGAAGAACGUAGCAAAGUGCGAUAACUAGUGUGAAUUGCAUAUUCAGUGAAUCAUCGAGUCUUUGAACGCAACUUGCGCUCAAUGGUAUUCCAUUGAGCACGCCUGUUUCAGUAUCAAAAACACCCCACAUUCAUAAUUUUGUUGUGAAUGGAAAUGAGAGUUUCGGCUUUAUUGCUGAAUUCUUUAAAAUUAUUAGGCCUGAACUAUUGUUCUUUCUGCCUGAACAUUUUUUUAAUAUAAAGGAAUGCUCUAGUAAAAAGACUAUCUCUGGGGCCUCCCAAAUAAAUCAUUCUUAAAUUUGAUCUGAAAUCAGGCGGGAUUACCCGCUGAACUUAAGCAUAUCAAUAAGCGGAGGAA